AUUGAACGCUGGCGGCAUGCCUUACACAUGCAAGUCGAACGGCAGCGGGGGAGAAGCUUGCUUUUCCUGCCGGCGAGUGGCGAACGGGUGAGUAAUACAUCGGAACGUGCCCUGUAGUGGGGGAUAACUAGUCGAAAGAUUAGCUAAUACCGCAUACGACCUGAGGGUGAAAGUGGGGGACCGCAAGGCCUCAUGCUAUAGGAGCGGCCGAUGUCUGAUUUGCUAGUUGGUGGGGUAAAGGCCUACCAAGGCGAGGAUCAGUAGCGGGUCUGAGAGGACGAUCAGCCACACUGGGACUGAGACACGGCCCAGACUCCUACGGGAGGCAGCAGUGGGGAAUUUUGGACAAUGGGCGAAAGCCUGAUCCAGCAAUGCCGCGUGUGUGAAGAAGGCCUUCGGGUUGUAAAGCACUUUUGUCCGGAAAGAAAUGGCUCUGGUUAAUACCUGGGGUCGAUGACGGUACCGGAAGAAUAAGGACCGGCUAACUACGUGCCAGCCGCCGCCGUAA
rnacentral:rRNA from 1 species